UACGUAGGGCGCAAGCGUUGUCCGGAAUUAUUGGGCGUAAAGAGCUCGUAGGCGGUUUGUCGCGUCUGCUGUGAAAACCUAAGGCUCAACCUUGGGCUUGCAGUGGGUACGGGCAGACUAGAGUGCGGUAGGGGUGACUGGAAUUCCUGGUGUAGCGGUGGAAUGCGCAGAUAUCAGGAGGAACACCGAUGGGCGAAGGCAGGUCACUGGGCCGCAACUGACGCUGGAUGGACACGAAAGCUGGGGGAGCAAACAGG
rnacentral:rRNA from 1 species